UACAAACGAAGUGGCCAGCAUCAACGAGCAUAGCAGAGGCGACGACUGGCAAUCGUAAAUGUGAGUUUGAGGUAAUUGGAAGUGAACGUAUUGAGUGCUGUGCGCGCAAAUUGAACGCGUCAGUCAGAAUUUAACGGUACACGCCUUCGGUUGUCAACAUUUAUUAACCGACGGCGGAAGUCGGAAGUUGUGAAAAACAAAAACAAUAAAAAAACAUCAUAGAAUGUAGUAGAGGGGAAGAGAAGGAGAAUUUAAUUUAUAACUGUUAAUCGGAGAGUUUAUAGGUGUGUGUUUGUGAGACAAGUGACUUGAACGGGAGGAAAAUUCCAUAUCAUAAUUAUGCAGUGAGAAAGCAUAUCACAAGUUGAGCGUACCAUUCAAGUUUCAUCUCGCGGCUGCUAAGUGGUAGAAGCAAAAAAGUAAAAAUAACUGUAAUUAAAUAAAAUACCAAUUUAUCAAUCCACGCACAAGCGUACAUACACACAGACGUACAUAUGUAUGUACAUGCAAAUUCCUACAUACAUACAUACUUAGUAUGUUUGUACUUAUUAUAAGCUAACUUAUUUAAUAACACUAUGUCAAUGUAUUGUAUGUACAAUAAAGCAGAGAUUCAGCAAAACAAUUUAAACAGCGGAUAAAGUGAAAUAAAAAACAACAAAAUAAAAUAAUAAAACUAUAAACAUUACAGCUACGUGCACUAACCAAACUCGUAGCCCUGUUAAUUUCGAUUUGAAAUUUCAUUUUUAAAUGUUAAUGCCCGUACGGAACGGGAAAAAAGUGACAGUGACAAGUGACGCAACCAAACGUCAACAUUAAUAAAUACAGCAAAUAUUUUGCUAUUUUACUCGCAUUCGAGAAUAACAAAGCGAUACAUUCCAUAAAAAAAACAAACAACACAAAAACAAAAAAAGUAAUUAGUUUAAAGGCAGUAAAAAAACAACAAUAACAGUUGCGAAAAAUCUCAGUAAAAUAUAACAGGUAUGCACCCCAGUUAAAAGGCUUCGGCUUAUUGAAUGGAUCUAUUGAUAGCUACAAAAACAAAUUCUAAAAAAUC